CACGUAGGGUCCGAGCGUUGUCCGGAAUUACUGGGCGUAAAGCGUGCGCAGGCGGUUGGGUCAGUCGCUGGUGAAAGCCCCACGCUCAACGUGGGAAUGGCCAACGAGACGGCCCGACUGGAGGCAGGGAGAGGCCGGUGGAAUUCCGGGUGUAGUGGUGAAAUGCGUAGAGAUCCGGAGGAACACCAGAGGCGAAGGCGGCCGGCUGGACCGUGACCUGACGCUGAGGCACGAAGGCGUGGGGAGCGAACCGGGAGUUAGAUA
rnacentral:rRNA from 1 species